UUGAGCCCCAGGUGAAUGGGUGUGGUUGGCCCAGGGAGCACAGGAAAAUUGUUUGCACCUGUGGUCCAUACAUGACCAGAAGGGGUGGACUCAGGGUGGAGAUGUGCUGGGUUCACGUAAGGGCCAGUCACUGAAGGGAGAGCAUUUCUUGGACCUGGGCUGCUUUCUGGAAGGGAGUGCUACACAUCCUGAGAUCUCCUUUGCCUUUUGAACUGGAUAUGAAGUGACUGAACAUGAAACUGCUUUCGGAACAUCUUCAGAGUUGCUCUGUGUGAACAGAACUGUAGCAUCAAAAUUAAUCAGUUCAACACAUUGAACUGUGCACACUAUCGUGACGGCUUGUGUUUCAUGGCUAGUGAAUAUCCCUCCAGAAGAUAGAGAAUAGCCUCUUAUUUUCUCUAGACACAUUUCAAACUGAUGUUUGGGAAUUUCCAAGCCUACAGUUUCCAAGAUCCCCUCAUUUUCCAGGAUAUUUUAAGCAGCAAGCAAUCAUGACACACUGAAGCAUCUGAAUUUUUUUGUUGUUAAAUCUAAUCUUCCCAUCUGAAGCAUGAAAUUCUGAAAGAAGAGCUUACUUGCUAUUAGUCUUCUUAUUUUCCACGCUCUGCAAUUUGACAUCUAAAACCUCUGAUAUUUCUGUAUCUUACCUAAUGUCUGAAGUAUGUCAGAUAUAACUCAAGCUUAGCAAGAAUAUGUUGUGAAUCUUCAAUGAUGAAAAAUACUGCAUAAUUUUGUAUCUUUGUCCACCAAUGUAAAGCUGUCAGACAUCCAGUGACAUUAGAGUAGAUCUGUUUUUUGUCAUGGGGCUGUAAGAUCCAAUAUUUUAUGCAAUAAAUGCCACCUGCUUGGAAAA